CAGAUCGUAGCUAAAAAUAGGACAGCACCUCCCUUACACCGAGAAGAUGCCUGUGCAAAUCAGGCCGGUCUGA
rnacentral:tRNA from 1 species